UACAGAGGGUGCAAGCGUUAAUCGGAAUUACUGGGCGUAAAGCGCGCGUAGGCGGCUGAUUAAGUCGGAUGUGAAAUCCCCGGGCUCAACCUGGGAACUGCAUUCGAUACUGAUCGGCUAGAGUAUGAGAGAGGGAGGUAGAAUUCCACGUGUAGCGGUGAAAUGCGUAGAUAUGUGGAGGAAUACCGGUGGCGAAGGCGGCCUCCUGGCUUAAUACUGACGCUGAGGUGCGAAAGCGUGGGGAGCAAACAGGAUUAGAAACCCCCGUAGUCC
rnacentral:rRNA from 1 species